rnacentral:rRNA from 1 species
AGUGAACGCUGGCGGUAGGCCUAACACAUGCAAGUCGAACGGCAGCACAGAGGAGCUUGCUCCUUGGGUGGCGGGUGGCGGACGGGUGAGGAAUACAUCGGAAUCUACUCUGUCGUGGGGGAUAACGUAGGGAAACUUACGCUAAUACCGCAUACGACCUACGGGUGAAAGCAGGGGAUCUUCGGGCCUUGCGCGAUUGAAUGAGCCGGUGUCGGAUUAGCUAGUUGGCGGGGUAAAGGCCCACCAAGGCGACGAUCCGUAGCUGGUCUGAGAGGAUGAUCAGCCACACUGGAACUGAGACACGGUCCAGACUCCUACGGGAGGCAGCAGUGGGGAAUAUUGGACAAUGGGCGCAAGCCUGAUCCAGCCAUACCGCGUGGGUGAAGAAGGCCUUCGGGUUGUAAAGCCCUUUUGUUGGGAAAGAAAUCCAUCUGGUUAAUACCCGGGUGGGAUGACGGUACCCAAAGAAUAAGCACCGGCUAACUUCGUGCCAGCAGCCGCCGUAA